rnacentral:rRNA from 1 species
AACGAACGCUGGCGGCAUGCCUAACACAUGCAAGUCGAACGAGACCUUCGGGUCUAGUGGCGCACGGGUGCGUAACGCGUGGGAAUCUGCCCUUGGGUUCGGAAUAACAGCGAGAAAUUGCUGCUAAUACCGGAUGAUGACGUAAGUCCAAAGAUUUAUCGCCCAAGGAUGAGCCCGCGUAGGAUUAGCUAGUUGGUGAGGUAAAGGCUCACCAAGGCGACGAUCCUUAGCUGGUCUGAGAGGAUGAUCAGCCACACUGGGACUGAGACACGGCCCAGACUCCUACGGGAGGCAGCAGUGGGGAAUAUUGGACAAUGGGCGAAAGCCUGAUCCAGCAAUGCCGCGUGAGUGAUGAAGGCCUUAGGUUGUAAAGCUCUUUUACCCGGGAUGAUAAUGACAGUACCGGGAGAAUAACGCCCCGGCUAACUCCGUGCCAGCAGCC